AUCGCUUCUCGGCCUUUUGGCUAAGAUCAAGUGUAGUAUCUGUUCUUAUCAGUUUAAUAUCUGAUACGUCCCCUAUCUGGGGACCAUAUAUUAAAUGGAUUUUUCGAACAGGGAGAUGGAAAAAGAGCUUGCUCUGUCCACUCCCAAAAAAAAAAAAAAAAAAAGUGCCUGCCACAACAUUUAACUUUC